GGCUACGUAGCUCAGUUGGUUAGAGCACAUCACUCAUAAUGAUGGGGUCUGGGUUCGGGCUCCGUCGUAGCCACCA
rnacentral:tRNA from 1 species